rnacentral:antisense_RNA from 1 species
UCAUGGGAGAAGCUCUAAACUUUACCUCAACAUUUAUGUAAAGUUAAAGCUGCACAGAUUCUGAGUCUUGGAAGUUUAUUUCAAAGAAAAGACAAUACCUGUACCACAUAUUUGACUUGGUUUUAUAAAUAUUACGAAGCUCCAGGAAAUAUGAGCAGGAUCUCAAAUAUAUUCAACAAGCUUCCAAUUUUUGUCUUUUGAGAUGGUUGCUCUUGGAACACAGAAGUAUGCUUUAAGAUGUCAAGCCUCCUCUGCUGAUGCUGUAUGGAGAACAGACAAGCUUUCCCAUCAAGCCCUAAACAAACUGCAGAACUGUGAAUAAAAUCAAUAAUUGUUAUGAAA